UACAGAGGUCUCAAGCGUUGUUCGGAUUCAUUGGGCGUAAAGGGUGCGUAGGCGGCGUGGUAAGUCGGAUGUGAAAUCUCGGAGCUUAACUCCGAAGCUGCAUUCGAUACUGCCGUGCUUGAGGACUGGAGAGGAGACUGGAAUUUACGGUGUAGCGGUGAAAUGCGUAGAUAUCGUAAGGAAGACCAGUGGCGAAGGCGGGUCUCUGGACAGUUCCUGACGCUGAGGCACGAAGGCCAGGGGAGCAAACGGG
rnacentral:rRNA from 1 species